GGNNAAUGCGGCGUGCUUACCAUGCAGUCGAACGAGAAGUUUCCUUCGGGAAACGAGUAGAGUGGCGCACGGGUGAGUAACGCGUAGGUAAUCUACCCUUAUGACUGGGAUAACAUUGGGAAACUGGUGCUAAUACCGGAUAUCCUUCUUUUCUGCAGGGUAAAGAAGGAAAGGUGGCCUCUUCAUGAAAGCUACCGCAUAGGGAUGAGCCUGCGUACCAUUAGCUAGUAGGUGUGGGUAACGGCCCACCUAGGCAACGAUGGUUAGCGGGUCUGAGAGGAUGAUCCGCCACACUGGAACUGGAACACGGACCAGACUCCUACGGGAGGCAGCAGUGAGGAAUAUUGCGCAAUGGGGGAAACCCUGACGCAGCGACGCCGCGUGAGUGAGGAAGGUCUUCGGAUCGUAAAGCUCUGUCAGAAGGGAAGAAGUGUUAUAUGGUUAACACCCAUAUAAUUUGACGGUACCUUCAGAGGAAGCACCGGCUAACUCCGUGCCAGCAGCCGCGGUAAUACGGAGGGUGCGAGCGUUGUUCGGAAUUACUGGGCGUAAAGGGCGCGUAGGCGGCUUGAUAAGUCAGGUGUGAAAGUCCAUGGCUCAACCGUGGAAGUGCAUUUGAAACUGUCAGGCUUGAGUAUCGGAGGGGAGUGUGGAAUUCCCGGUGUAGAGGUGAAAUUCGUAGAGAUCGGGAGGAACACCUGUGGCGAAGGCGACACUCUGGACGAAUACUGACGCUGAGGCGCGAAAGCGUGGGGAGCAAACAGGAUUAGAUACCCUGGUAGUCCACGCCGUAAACGAUGAGAACUAGAGGUAGGGGGUGUUGAUCCCUCCUGUCUCGCAGCUAACGCAUUAAGUUCUCCGCCUGGGGAGUACGGUCGCAAGAUUAAAACUCAAAGGAAUUGACGGGGGCCCGCACAAGCGGGGAGUAUGUGGUUUAAUUCGACGCAACGCGAAGAACCUUACUUGGGCUU
rnacentral:rRNA from 1 species